rnacentral:rRNA from 1 species
AAUUAACGCUGGCGGCGUGCCUAAGACAUGCAAGUCGAACGAGAAAUCAGUUUUCGGAUUGAGAGUAAAGUGGCGCACGGGUGAGUAAGACUUAAGUAACGUACCCUUUCGCUGGGGAUAACAGGAGGAAACUCCUGCUAAUACCGAAUGACCCUAAUCUUUCUGCGGAAUAGUUAGGGAAAGCCGUAAGGCGCGAAAGGAGCGGCUUGAGCACCAUUAGCUUGUUGGUGGGGUAAAGGCCUACCAAGGCUGCGAUGGUUAGCUGGUCUAAGAGGAUGAUCAGCCACACUGGUACUGGAAUACGGACCAGACUCCUACGGGAGGCAGCAGUUAGGAAUAUUGCGCAAUGGGGGAAACCCUGACGCAGCAACGCCGCGUGAGUGAGGAAGGCCUUCGGGUUGUAAAGCUCUUUUAGUAGGGAAGAAAGCACUGACGGUACCUACAGAAUAAGCACCGGCUAACUCCG